AGAGAGUGAGGAUUUCCGGUGGCAGGCUCAAGGCUGCGUACCCAAGGCUAGGGGCUAGGAGAAAGGGGUCAGAGGCUGGCGCUGGGUUGGGGGGCCAGACGCUGGGUUUAGAGGGCCGCAGCUGAGAGUGUGAGAGCUGAGAGGUUGGGGCUGCAGGGAUGGAGUUGCUGGAGGUCUUCAGGGUGAGGUUGGGAGGUGAGGGGAGGAAGAGACUGGGCGAUUGGGAAGGGACAGAAAAGUAGGGAUGGGGGAGGAGGUACGUGCUGAGAGGUGACAGCCCGGCAGUACCGGGCAGACUGGGGGCCCUAGAGCUAAGGCUGGUAGCCAGCCUGAAAGAGAGGGGAUGGAUCGGGAACCAGGAAAAGUAAGGAAAUGCUGCUCGAAAAGGCAGAGUGUAGGAGAGACCUGCCCGGUACACAGCGGCGUGGACUCCCAGGAAGACCAGGACCAGGACCGGAUUGCGGCGUUCGCUCUCCGCGCGCCUCCAGCCUCCCCGUGCGUCGCAUGCUGGCACCCCCGCCCACCGCGCCAGCUGCAGGUCAGACUCUUCAUCCUCCGUCAGCUCCGCACUGGCCACCUUAGCUGCGGAGCCCAG
rnacentral:lncRNA from 1 species